rnacentral:lncRNA from 1 species
CUGGAGUUUGCAUCUGGAGACUUUUCUAAAACCCACGUGUUAGAGGCCGAGUCCCAGGCUAUAGUGCUUCUGGGAGGCUGUGAAGCCUUAUGAGGCGGGGUCUAGUGAGAAAUCUUGGGUCAUUGGGCGCGUGCCCUGAAGGGAAUUAUGGGAAACCAGCCUCUUCCUUUUCCUGUCUCUUUGCUUUCCAACUGCCACAAAGUAAGCAGCUUUGCCUGCCACAAAUUCCCUCCAUAGUGCACUGUGCCUCCAUGGGCCAAGAAGCAUGGGAUGAAACCAAUCUGAGACUGAAAUCUCUAAAACUAGGAGCUGAAGGAAACCUUUCCUUUUCUGAUGUGGACUACCUCCAGUGCUUUAUUAUAGCCACAGAAGCCAGACUGAUAGAGCGUACAAAGUCAUUUACGAAGAAAAAGGCUUAAAGGAACUCAGGUUGGCUGUGAAGAAGAUGAAGAAACUUG